CAUCCCUCGAGGCUCGGUCUCAUCAGCCUCUCGGGACUGCUCCCAUCUUACCCCACAGAUCUCGGGGAAGGGAAGCAGGGCAGGGGGCACCACAUGAGGAGGGGAUGGGGAAGAGGAAGGAGAUAGAGAAAAGCCUGCUGGGCUUCUCCCCACCCGCGGGGGGAUGCGCACAGGGGUGGGGUGACCCCUACUUGCCUGCUUGCCACGCAGCCGCUCCUGGAGGCGCGAUCCAAGGAGGGACGAAGCACGGGUCCGACCCAUGGCAGAUGCUCCAUGGGGCUGGGAGCGGUGGCAGAACUUCUCUGUGAGAGACCCCCGGCUCACACCACGUCCACACCAUCCAUGGGACCGGUGGUUUCGAGUCUUACGCCCCCCCAGGAUGCCAGAGCAGCCUGGUUUUGCAGAUGGUUUUUAAUGGGCUUUCUUUUUUUAAUCGUGCCUCUGUGUCAGAACCGGCUCCUCGCUUCCCCCCAAGGAUUCCUUGCUCUAUUUUGGAUAUCGGCACGAUCCAUCGGGGAGGAGGGGGGGCAAGCUGCACUUCCCAGACAACCUGGCCAAUGAAAACAGCACUGAGAGAGGCGAGAAACCCGGAGAGAACCCAGACACAAAACCCAGCGAAACCCACAGGCUAUUAGCAGCUGUCAUUAAAAUCAGCCGCGAUGGCUGUGGAUGGGCUGUUUCCACUAGGCAAACCACCAAAUUCGGGGAAACGGCUGAACAAACUGGCUUUGCAGCGAUCUCUCCUUGUUGUGAUGAGAAGAAAAAUACUAAUAAAGGUCUUUCCAGAUUAAAUGUGUUUUGUUCCAGAGAGCCCCGACCCCCUAUGAACCUACUGAGUCGUGUCACCGAGGAUGCGGCGUGCUCUGGUGAACGAAGACCUGGACAGGGAGACUCUGAGGAAGUUACUUUCUCAUUCUGCCUCAACACGUUCAGUAGGGAGGCUGAAACGUGUCUGCCUUAGGAGGUAAAUGAUGUACCAGAAGCAAGAUUUGUUUCUACACACUCCCGAGGCUUCCCGUGGGGAGCAUUUUCCAUGCAUUUUGUGGAGCAGACCUGCUGGGUUGCCAUUUACUGUCCUCCAGCCGUCGCAAGGACCCCCCCAGAACCUCUGUGGGUAAUACCACGACGUGGUUUCUGCAGCAGGGAGGGAAGGGACGCUGGGUCUCAGCACCCCUGAGGCUUUCAGCCCAUGCCUCGGCUGCGCUCGCUGGGACGGAUGAAGGCAAGGUGACAUCCGCCGAGCGCGGCGCACGGCCCAGAGGCCGCCCACGUGCUGGUGGUGUUGUUUACAAAGAAAAGGCUUCGUGGGGCUGCUCGAAGCCCAGGUCAAGGCAGAGGAUGUUUACCAGCCUUCAGACCAGGGUGGCUGAGGACACGAUGCUGUGUGAGCGGGGAAGGUGCCCCGCGAUGCGGGUGCCGAUGCUUGUGGGCAUCGCCGAGGCUCUGUGCUCCUGGCAGAGUGGGACAACAGCCUGGGCCCUAAGCAGGACUCUGCAAGUGCCUUGUUGGCCUUGGGGUCAUGCCAUGCCUCUUAUCCUACAGCUGGCAGAGCCCAGGGCCAUCCUGGGGGCUCUCUGAGGACAACCGGGACAGACACCCACCUCGCUGCCCCUCCGGCAGGUGUGCUGCAAAAUCAGGCCGGCUCUUUGCAUACCAAGGACAUACAGAAAUGAGGAAGCCCUUGCAGAUUUGUCAAACCUCUCCCUCCCCAGCUUGCAUUUUGCUGCCUCCGCUCUCCUCCAACUAAGGGCUGGGGAGGGAGGACAGAGCUGGAGGAGGUCAGGUUGGGGCUGGGGAGGGAGAGGGCAGAUUUAGGGUUAGCUGGAGCGCUUUGAGCUGUAGGGCAGGGCUUCAUCCUCCGGCAGAGAGUGCAUCUGAAGUACCUGAGUGCUCUCUGCUAAGUGAGCUUCACUUCCUAUUCCUACAAAAAAGGGAAGUUGCUUUUUUAGAAAGCUGCUUGCCAUCCACCGCAGAGGUAGGAAGGAGGAGCCACCACAAGGUGCAGCAAAGGCUUAGAAAUAAGGCUGCUGAGUCAUCUUGGGAAACAGGGCGCCAGCACGGCAGCUCCAGACAGAAACCUGCUUCUGAUUUGAGACACGUUCCCGGUUCUGACAGUGGGGAAACCCAGCAGCUGCAGCCAGGCUGCUGCACAGACCCUUCCAGGGAGGGCAGCAGUUAAAGCAGCUCGGAAGUGAGGAGUUUAUUUAAACAGGUUAGAUAAUGUGCAACCUACCUACUGCAUCCCAGGGAGGUUUUUAGGGACCUAGCCCUUCAUCCCUGUGCCUCCUCUGUUGCCUCCAGACUGGGAAUCUCCCGGCCAUGAGACGAGAUCCAGAGCAGAGAAGCCCAGGCAGUGAAUGCCCUCCUGCAAUCUGUCUGCUCAGAAAUCACGAAGCGCCAGCCCACGGGUGUCCUUUAAAAGAAACUGGAGGGAAGUCACUGCGAAAGCAGGCGAAAAAAGGGCACUGAAAAGAGAGGAAGUCUUGUACGCAGCUCCCGGGUUGCUCCAGAUGGGCUCCACCUGCCCCCAGCUUCCCCAGCCCGGGGGUGCAGGCUGUCAUCAACCCUGCUCCAGCAGGGUCUGGCUGGCAGUGGUCCCACCUCACUGCCACGUGUUGGUCUCCAGAUGUUCUCCAGGAGCAUUGCAGGGUGCAAUCCCACAGCUGGCUCAUCUCUGCUACCUGCUACAAUCCCCCAUCAGUGGUGCGCCGAGCCCAAAAGUCUAGCCCAUGGGGAAAACACCCAAAGAAAGAUCUCUAGGAGCAACCACACCUCUGGAUGUGGAAAGGGUCCAAAAAAUGCUGCCAGCUCCCUCUGGAUGACCCAAAACCCAAUGGAUUGGCCACCCGGCCAUACCCCCAACACCAGUGGCCCACUGCACAGCCUCCUUCUGCAGCAGAGCCCACUCCCACCACAUUUACACUCCCUUUACACUGAACCCAAUAAAAGUGUUCCCGUUAAGGUGGCUACUGCAGAAAGGACUUCGGCUUCGAUCUGAAGCCACCCAGAGGGAUGAAGGCACCUCCACUUUCCACUUGGCCCCAGGGGCUGCUCCUUACACCCCUGCAGUGCAAACUGGGUGGCUCGUUCCCUCCAGACCUUGCUCUCAUGGCCUGCUCAUGAUUUUUCCCCUCUCAUUAACAACGAGCAUCCUAAUUUACCAUCUGAACCUCCCAGCUGCCAUUCCUCUGGCAGAUUAAAAGCUAAUUUAGAGCACUGGAGUGCUGCUGGAGGAGGAUGCUGACGCAUGGUAACCAACCCUCCAGCCUCCAUUUCAACCACUGGGGCUUUCUGAGCUCCAAGGCAGCAUCUCUGCAAGUAAAAUAGUGUCAGGUCUCCAUCUCUCCCCCCUUAAAAUAAGCUGUGGUCUUCCUCCUGUGAGUCUCAAGUGCUGAAGGCUGAAUACGUAAGAGGCAACUGGGAAAAAACUCUGUGAUAAAAGUCAAGACCACUUAACCUGCAUUCGAAGCCCAUUUUUCGAGAAUCACGCAACCGUUUUGAGAUGUUCUGCCCCUAAUUUUCUCGUUUCCAAGCCAUUCACUGUGAGCAGUUAAUCACGCUACACUGACAAGAGGGACACCCUCCUGUGAGGCCACCUGGUGUAAUCUGAUGGCCCUUCACCACUUGCCACCAUAGCCUGGGGAAGAACAGAGCUCUGAGAAAAGAGGAGGCUUUGACCUUCUGCGGAUGAGGAGAUAUUUGCAAUGUGGUAAACGAGGACCUCGGUGACUCGGAUGCAGGGUCAAUUGCCUCAUUUGCCUCUUGGCCAUAAUGCAAAUGGCACCAAGAGUUUGUUCACCCCAGCUUCCUCCACCCAGAAUUGCGUUUCAACUAUCGGACACAAGGAGUCCUGCACGCUGCUUUUUGAUCAGCAACAGAUUUCCCACUUCCCAGACGAGCAGAAGUCAUCUGUGAGAUCCAGUCAAGUUCAACAAAUUAUUUCAUAAGUAAAUAAAAGUUUGUCGGGGAGGAAACCAGCAGAGAGGUUUUGAAGAGCACAUUUCACUUCGGAAAAGAAGUAAGUUUUACAGGGUCACAGAAAUGUGGGGCUGACCCUCAGAAGGUCAUCUAUCUGCUUGGUGGACCUAGAUUUUUCUGGGAGACAACCUAACUGGUGCUUGCUGAUGGAAAUUCCCACUGUUCCCCAGUCUGUCCCAGCUCUUCAAGAUCCAUAGCCUUAAAAUGACUUCUUAAUGAUGGGCACUUUUUAAUGAUCGGCACGAAUUUCCUUACUGAAAGACCUACAACUCCUUGUCCUGCCCAUGGUGAACACAGAGUUUAUUCCCUCCUUUUUGUUUGCAGGGGCACCAGCAAAUCAAGCAGCACUACUUCUUGCAAAAAUUCCCUAUUGAUCACGCUGUCCGCACCUUUGCUCAGCUGUGUCCUUCUUCUUUAGGCCCUUUGAAAUGGGGUUUGGGAGCUUGAAUAGGCAAACCCGCAAUGUUUUCCGAGUUAAAACUGACCGACAUUAACAAAGGCAAAAUUACUCUGUAAAACCCCAGAAACAUUGUUCUCCAGCUCAGUUGCAACAUUUUCUUGGAAGCAAUUAUAAUUAUAAGUCUAUUUUUUAUUUCAACACAAGGAGCUGCUCUCUUUGGGGGUUGUUUUUUUUUUUUUUUAGAGGGGAGAGGGGGAAUUUUUUUGGCUGGACAGUGAAAUGAGUUCAAGUGGCGUUAGCCGUGAUGUGGAAGACAGAGAGACCUCUGAGAAGCACAGGGCUUGUUGAAUAUGAAAUGCUAGAGGCCUGGUUUAUGUUCCUGGUUUAUAAGUUGCACUUUAACACUUAUUUUUAAACCAAAACCAUGACCUGUAUAUCCUGUUUCAUAUAGGGAUGUACUUUCUUUUGAGUUUCAUAGUGACAUCUGAUGGUGCAGCCAAUCCUUCCACAAGUAGUGGGACCCUGAGGCUGUAAUCUGUUGCCAAGACCUCUGAAAAGGGAGAAUUGCAUCCAAUUUUAUCCCCUCUGCUACCUCUAAUCUCUGCUGCUUGCAGUGCGGUACGGAUCUAACGAGAAAGCUGAAUUGCAGCACAUUAAAUGAAUCAGUGAGUGGAAACUUUGGGGUUGCCCAUGGCUCCAGCAGGAUUUAGCCCUGGGGCUCUUGCAAAAUUGUUGCCCAUGAUUGAACCCCGUGGGUCUGCAGGAAACGAUUGACUACAGGGGAGCUCACCCACAUGGAGUCAACGCUUGGUUGCCUCCUUGAGUCUCAUCAAGCAUGAAAAAGCAGCGAGGAAACUCCCUUUUUAACAUAGAGAGAAUGGAAAGACUGAUAGUAAGGAAGGAAGACAAAUAAUGAUGAAGUAACAGUGUGCCCAAAAGCUCCUACUCUGCCCAACACGGUGCCGUCACUCCUGUGAAAUCCACAGGGACAUGUUUCCAGAUGACAACGGGGUAUCGCUGGUGAAAAAUGCCUCAUUUCCAAAAGUCCCCUCUGCACUUGAAGGCAGCCUCAACACCUGCUUGGACUUUGAUGUGCCCAUAAAGGUUUCAAGGAGAAUUACAGGCUGAAAAGUCAGUCAAGAGGAAAAUCACAAAGCAAAAAUAAGAGGGCUGAUCUCCUUGUCUGAACUGGAUGUAUGGCCCAAAUUCUGUAGAAGGAGGAUGCCUUUAUUAUUAUUAUUUAAUGCUCAGCUUGAGAUAUCAUGGGCUUAUUUAGCAGGGGCUGAAGAGCACCCCACCUCAGCUGAGAGCACUAGAGCCCAGGGUAGAAAUGCAUACAACAGCACUCCAUGUUCUAUUAGGAAGAAUAUGGAAAGUCAUUAUAAAAACAGAAAAAAAAAUAUAAAUAAAAGUAAUAGUAACACCGCAGAAUUUUCACUUAAAUAUGUCUUGUGUCUUUUCUCCUCCAUCAGAAAAUUCGGCUUUUUGCCUGUAACACCCAAGGUGUAGCAAUAGCUCUAUUUUUGCAGAAUAAAACAAGAACAGGCUGAAUUUUUAUUUUUUUUUUAACAGAUUCUUGUGCAUUGGCAUAAUGAUAGUGCUGCAGGAGGUCUAGGAAAAAAUACAAACUGUGGUCAAAAGAUCACAAGUUCAGCAGCCCUCAGAAGUUACUUAAAACUUGAGAUAAUGACUACUGGA